UAAUAAAUAUAUAACAAACUAUACUUAGAGGGGUAUAUGUGUAAAACUAUCAACAAAAUUUUUGCUUCAUGGGGCACCUAUACAAUGCCUGUUUGGCUCUUUUGGACUAAAGUGAUAACCUGAACCGAUGAAGAUAUUUGGCAAAAGACCAGGUAGAAGUGCGGAACAAACCGGCAGUAAUUGUAUAACGGCUCAAUUAUUAAGAUCAGCAAACUAAAAUGGCUUAAUCAUUUAUUACCAUGUAAAUCAUUAUUGCAACGUGGCAACCCAUUAACCCCUAGGGGAGUAGAUUUGCAUAAUCUAGUCUCGUGGUGG
rnacentral:lncRNA from 1 species